GGAUCUUCUCUUUUCUCUCUGUUUCAAAAGCUACAGAAUAUUUAAAAAAAAGCCCCCAACAAAACUGGGGAUCAGAAGCUUACACAAUAUCAAAGUAAAAGGAACGCCACAAGGGCAAUGGGCUCCGCCGUCGAUUCAACCACCAUCCUCCCCAUUGGCUUGGAAAUUCGGCCAGGGCGACCGCGCUGGAUUCGGGACCGGACAGAGGGGCUCGAGGCCUCCACUGCUGAUGUGGAGCUUCCUCAAAAUACGCUUCAUCUUCAACAUCGCUCACGCCUCCAUCGGCACUCUGGAGUAGUUCAUGGCCCUAGAUCCUCUGUUGCCUACCUUGAUCUCGAUGGAGAGGUUCAGUCGGCCAUGAUCGACCUCAAAUCUCGACGGGGAAGUUGAGUCGGUAAAAAAAGUUGAGCGACAGAGGCUUGAGCGCCUCCUUUAAGCGCA
rnacentral:lncRNA from 1 species